UACGUAGGGUGCAAGCGUUGUCCGGAAUUAUUGGGCGUAAAGAGCGCGUAGGCGGUCUGUUAAGUGUAGAGUGAAAUCUCCAGGGCUCAACCCGGAAACUGCUCUGCAUACUGGCAGACUGGAGGGACUGAGAGGUGAAUGGAAUUCCUGGUGUAGCGGUGAAAUGCGCAGAUAUCAGGAGGAACACCGAUGGCGAAGGCAGGUCUCUGGGCAUUAACUGACGCUGAGGAGCGAAAGCAUGGGGAGCGAACAGG
rnacentral:rRNA from 1 species